rnacentral:rRNA from 1 species
UUUGAAUUGUUUAUUAUAACAUUAAUUUAUAUGUAAAUUUUUGUGUUAUUAAUAUUUCUUGAUGGAAUUUUUGAUAAUGUAUUGUGCAGUAAAUAAUAUUAUUGACAUUAAGUUAAUUUAGAUUUGGUAAAUGUUAAUAGGUUUGGAAAAGGCUGUGCCAGCAUCCGCGGUUAUACAGUAAAAUCAAUUAAACAUUAUUGGCUUUAAAGUAAUUAACAUUUAAAUUUGUAAAUAAAGGUUGGAAUAUAUUAAGGUGAAAUAUAUAAUAUAUUUUGAAUUAUAUUUAUGUGGUGUGAUUAUUAUGAAAUUGAAUUUAUAAACUAGGAUUAGAUACCCUAUUAUUUUUAUUGUAAAAUUUGUAUAAGCCGGAGUAUUAAAAGUUAUGGUCUUGAAACUUAAAGAAUUUGGCGGUAUUAUAGUCUAUUUAGAGGAAUCUGUUAUGUAAUUGAUAAUCCACGUUGAACCUUACUUAUAUUUUUUUCUGUAUACCUCUGUUUAAGAAUAUAUUUUUAGAUAAAUUUUCUGAAUAUAAAAAUAUUUAAAAUUUCAAGUCAAGGUGCAAUAAUAUAUGAGUUGAAUAAUGGAUUACAAUAAAUUUUAUUUAAAUGGAUUGUUAUUGAAAUAUAAUUAUGAAGGUGGAUUUAAUUGUAAUUUUAUGAAGAUUAUUAAAAUGAUUUAUAGCUCUAUAAUAUGUACACAUCGCCCGUCACUCUCGUUAUUAAGAUGAGAUAAGUCGUAACAAAGUAGGUGUAUCGGAAGGUGUACCUAGAAAGUUAAU